GAAAAGGUUGGGAACUUAGGCCAUUUCGUUUUGCUGUCGGAUGAGUGCAGCUUACAAUGAGAAGCUCCUAAGUAAGAAUUGCUGUUUGGGUUAGGGCAGCAUAUUAUAAAACCUGAAAAGUUAUGACAUGAUAGCAGCAGGGAUUCAUUCGAAUGAUGAAGAAAAUCAGUCGGCUUUUGUGUCUGAUUCAUUCAAAUGAGAAGAGGAUGAAUCAGUGAAGUUUGUGUUGGAUGAUAUGAUUAGAAUAGAGCCGAAUCAAAUGAUUCUUGUAAACACCUAUUUUCGUAUCAAAAACGAACUUAUCAACUCGCCAUUCCUGUGUUGACGUACAUGUCUCAAACAAGUCAU
rnacentral:misc_RNA from 1 species